rnacentral:rRNA from 1 species
AGUUAUCCGUUUUAUCGGAAAUACUGGGCGUAAAGCGCACGCAACGCGGUUUGUUAGUCAGAUGUGAAAUAAAAAGGGGGGGGGGGAAGCCUUUACCUGAUUAGGCAAUAUUUAAAAAAAGGGGGAAAAAAA